rnacentral:rRNA from 1 species
CAGCAGCCGCGGGAAUACGAAGGGGGCUAGCGUUGUUCGGAAUUACUGGGCGUAAAGGGCGCGUAGGCGGCCAUUCAAGUUAGAUGUGAAAGCCCUGGGCUCAACCUAGGAAUUGCAUUUGAUACUGUUUGGCUUGAGUUCGGGAGAGGUGAGUGGAAUUCCCAGUGUAGAGGUGAAAUUCGUAGAUAUUGGGAAGAACACCAGUGGCGAAGGCGGCUCACUGGACCGACACUGACGCUGAGGCGCGAAAGCGUGGGGAGCAAACAGGAUUAGAUACCCGUGUAGUCCCUGUCUCUUAUAC